AACUCGAUAUUCUAGAAUAGGAUUCCAAGUUGCAAACUUGGAGGGGCUUGGGGUCCCAAGCUUGAGUUU
rnacentral:tRNA from 1 species